UACUAUACAGAGGAAAUAGAAAACUAGAUGAACCAUUUAUUCUAGCAUCUCAAGCCCAACAAGCUUGGUAUAUUCAAGAUCCAGUUGAUUCAGAGUGGCAUGUAGCUUUGAAAAUGACACCUCGAGCUAUAUUCAAUGUGGACCCAGAGGUUAAUGAAAUUGAAAGUAUUGAGGAUGAACAAUUUUCAAGUCAACAACAUGAAGCAGAUGUUGACAAUGAAAAUUUGGCAUGGGUUAGAGCAGAUGUAGACAGGGUAUCACUUACAGGAAUCGACAUUCCUAUUGGUGAAACUAAUGUUGAUGAUUUUGAUAAUGAUGAUGCAAACCUUGAGGAUGAAGACGUUGACGAAGAAGACUUUGAGAGUGAUAAUUCCGAUUCAAGUGAUGAUGAUGACUUUUUUGAAGAAAGAACACCACCAAAUGAUAACGAAAAUGAUUAGAAAAUUCGCGGAUUGGUGUGUUUGGAGCGACCUAGGGUCUUUUUCAGAUGUCUGUGCGCUGGACUCUGGCCUUCGAGGGACGGGCUCCGUUGGCUGCCCAUGAGUCGUAUCAACUUUGUCGAUGAUUUGCGUGGACGUUUAACGGUGGCUGCUUCUUUGGGCAGCACCACCUCUAGCAUGCGUGAGGCAGAUUUCUUUCAUUUUCAUUUUCUUUCCUUAUUUGAUGUUCUUAGAUUAGAUUUUUGCGAUUGUGUCUGGUUUGAUAUUACAUUUCGUAAGAUUCAUAGGUGUUUUUGGUGGUAUCCGGUUUUUAUGUCUUGUUUCGCUGUUGAAAGUCGAGAUUGUCUAAGGGCGAUGGUUAGGCCGGAGCUUUUGAGGCGAUUCGUUCCGCUUUCUCGGCAUUUAUUUUUUUGCGAUUUUUUGCGCUUUGUACUGGACGAGCACUCUUUUUCCUCUUUUAGCUUUUUCCGUUGCAGAUUUUGCUAUAAGAGGUUUUAAUGAGGCUCGGCCUUUAGUCUGUU